UUCCCACUGUUUCACAAGGCUGCCUUGGCUCCUCUCUGCUUGCCCCGCUGCCGGCUCUGCCGGGCUGCCUUCUGGCAGAUGGCUGAUUACCAUAAAGAGAAGCCAGCCUGUUGUGGCCGCUGUGUGCAUAUCCCGGCGUAACCAAGCACAGCACAGCUGUAGCUAGGCACGUGAAAGAGGCAUUCGUCUUCCCACUGAUGCCGGGUUUGACCUUUCGUAAGGAAAACUGGUGGUGUCACUCAGAGCAGAUGGUGAACAGGAGCUUGGUAAAACAUCUGCGAUGUCAUUUUUAAAAGGUCCCAUCGGGCUGUCCAAGGACUGGAGCUCUGGUACCAGGAUUUCACCAUUUUUCCUUGUUCCAAAGAGGUAGGAGGUGAAGAUGUUUAACCAGAAAAUUAGUGUCACUCUAGGAUGAGCUGGGGAAUCUGGCUGUAUGACUCCUGCCAAGGCAUGAACCUUGCUGUGAAAGUGUCAACCACUGUGUCACCCAUACCUAUCCAUGGGCAUUUCCCUGCACAGCUGAGACUCCCUCAUCCAUGGAAGGAGUAAGCAAAGGAAGCUGGGAGACAGAUGUGCAGCUGAUACAAACACAAAUCCUUCUAAUGAGCUCAGUGGAGCUGAACUAGUUGCAUCAGCAGAGAAAAUUUCCCUUUCUUCCCAUCUCAGAAGUGGUAACUGGCGGUCUGGCUCACCUGUAUCUGGCCUGAGUGCUAUUAUUUGCUCCCAGAAACAUGUCGUCUGUAUCUUCAGAAAGGGAUGGUGAAAGUGUUUGGCCCAAGGGAAGAGCUGGGGGCAUGGCUGCCCAGCAGAUGGGAACUAGAGCAUCAAAUACAGGAAUGUUAUUGAUUAGCCACCUUGAGGGCUGCUGGAUUUCUUCCUGGGUGGGUCAACAUGGCAGAGUGUGAGGCACUGGCUUGGUCUCCUGUAUGGCAAGAAUUCAUGGUGUCAGCUAGCAAAAGCCUGGAUAUGUGUAAUCUUUUGUGGCUCAUGCACCCU